rnacentral:rRNA from 1 species
GAUGAACGCUGGCGGCGUGCUUAACACAUGCAAGUCGAACGGGAAACAUUUUAUUGAAGCUUCGGCAGAUUUAGUUUGUUUCUAGUGGCGGACGGGUGAGUAACGCGUGGGUAACCUGCCCUUGAGAGGGGGAUAACGUCUGGAAACGGACGCUAAUACCGCAUAAAAUUAUCCAGUCGCAUGGCAGGAUAAUCAAAGGAGCAAUCCGCUGAAGGAUGGACUCGCGUCCGAUUAGAUAGUUGGUGAGGUAAAGGCUCACCAAGUCGACGAUCGGUAGCCGGACUGAGAGGUUGAACGGGCCACAUUGGGACUGAGACACGGCCCAGACUCCUACGGGAGGCAGC